rnacentral:lncRNA from 1 species
CGCGCAGGGGCAGCUCCGAGAUCACGCCGACCUGGGUCUCCUUCCAGGCGCCGCGUGUCCUCCAACAGGUGGCUUCCCUUCUCUAAGCCCCAAUUUCCUCCUCGGUUAAACAAGGAGGGGGCAUUCGCGGAGCUGGAUUGAGCGAGAUCCGAGACAGCCCGCCCUGCCCUCAACUGGCGCGCGGCAAAUGGCCAGCGCUCCGCCUCUCCGUCUCCUCGUCUGUGAAAUGGGAACCGGGUCCAGGAGGGCGAGGAACCCAGGAGCCCAGGGGCUGCGGUAAAGGGCGGCGGCGAGGGGUGCCCCUCCCUCGGUUCCUCGAGACCCCGCUUCCGCGCCGGCACCGCCCCCUCCGGGUUUCCGAGGCCGCGAGUCGGCCAGCGCGCAUGCCCGGGGCGGGGCGCGGGGCGGGAGCGCGGAGCCGGCGCGGGGGACGCUGGCGCGGAGUCCGCGGGUCCGCCCGCCAGCCCCGCCGGAGGCAACCGAGGCCGCUCGGGUGGCGGCAGCGACGGCAGCGGGAUCCGGAGCGCAGCGCGCCGAGGAGACAGAGCGACGGCACGGCCGGGCUCUCUGUCCCUACCCCGGACCACCUGUGCUGGAGAGCUGCAGGCUGGGCACUGAGGAGCCGACCUCUUCCGGGGGCUUUCCGAAUGGGCCUGUUUUCAGCUGGGCCAUGCCUGCCUCCCAGGACUUCAGUUUCCUCCUCUGAAACCCUCUGGAUCAAACGAACUUGUUUGAGGGCGAGGUUUUGCCCAUUUGUGCCCCCUGCUGCCGGCCCUGCCUGCCCGGCCCCCUCCUGGGAGCACAGCUGGGCUCUGACAGGCUGAGUAGAUAAAAGCAGGCCUUCCAUGUACACAGCCCGGCCCUAACGUGAGCGGAGCUGUGCGCACCCCUCAUCUUCUUUCAUUCUCACAGCAGACCUGCGGGAGCAGGGGGUGGGUUUGUCAGGGUGCCCAGUGAGGAGAAGGGACUUGCCUGAGGUCGCAGAGCUGGUAAGUGGGGAGCUAUCCUGACUUCCUGUGGCACAGGCCACACCCAGGGGAGGGGCUGGUGCGAGGGGACCCAGGGCU